AACGAACGCUAGCGGCGCGUUUUAAGCAUGCAAGUCGUACGAGGAGUGUUUGAAUGAAACCUAGUGAUUUCAUUCACUUCUAGUGGCAAACGGGUGAGUAACACGUAGGUAAUUUGCCUUGAAGUUUGGGAUAGCCCAUGGAAACAUGGAUUAAUACCGGAUGUGGUGCCAGUGUCAUAAGACGUUGGCAUUAAAGAUGGGGAUCUUCGGACCUAUCGCUUCAAGAUGAGCCUGCGGCCCAUUAGCUUGUUGGUGGGGUAAUGGCCUACCAAGGCUUCGAUGGGUAGCCGGCCUGAGAGGGUGAUCGGCCACAUUGGGACUGAGACACGGCCCAGACUCCUACGGGAGGCAGCAGCUAAGAAUCUUCCGCAAUGGGCGCAAGCCUGACGGAGCGACCCCGCGUGAGCGAUGAAGGUGCUCUGCAUUGUAAAGCUCUUUCGGGGAGGAAGAAUAAGGGUUCUCUAAUAGAGGAUCUGAUGACGA
rnacentral:rRNA from 1 species